GACGAACGCUGGCGGCGUGCCUAAUGCAUGCAAGUCGAACGAGGCCCCAUGGACGGGUAACCGUCCCGGGGUCCUAGUGGCGAACGGGUGAGUAACACGUGAGGAACCUGCCCCGGAAUCUGGGAUAGCCCAGGGAAACCUGGAUUAAUACCGGAUAUCCUCGAUCGGUCGCAUGUCUGGUCGAGGAAAGGUCCGCCGUUCCGGGAUGGCCUCGCGGCCUAUCAGCUUGUUGGCGGGGUAACGGCCCACCAAGGCAACGACGGGUAGCUGGUCUGAGAGGACGAGCAGCCACACUGGGACUGAGACACGGCCCAGACUCCUACGGGAGGCAGCAGCAGGGAAUAUUGCACAAUGGGCGAAAGCCUGAUGCAGCGACGCCGCGUGGGGGAUGAAGGCCUCCGGGUCGUAAACCCCUUUCAGGAGGGAAGAAGCGCAAGUGACGGUACCUCCAGAAGAAGCCCCGGCCAACUACGUGCCAGCCGCCGCAGUAAGAC
rnacentral:rRNA from 1 species